rnacentral:rRNA from 1 species
GGCGGCGCGCUUAACACAUGCAAGUCGCACGAGAAAGGGGCAACCUGAGUAAAGUGGCGUACGGGUGAGUAACACGUGGAUCAUACACCUUUUAGUGGGGAAUAACUUUGGGAAACCGAAGAUAAUACCGCAUAAGCCCGAGAGGGGAAAGCAGCAAUGCGCUGAAAGAGUAGUCCGCGGCUGAUUAGCUAGUUGGUGAGGUAAGAGCUCACCAAGGCUUUGAUCGGUAGCCGGCCUGAGAGGGCACACGGCCACACUGGCACUGAAACACGGGCCAGACUCCUACGGGAGGCAGCAGUGGGGAAUCUUGCACAAUGGGCGAAAGCCUGAUGCAGCGACGCCGCGUGAGUGAUGAAGCCCCUCGGGGUGUAAAGCUCUUUCGACGGGAACGAUAAUGACGGUACCCGGAGAAGAAGCUGCGGCUAACUACGUGCCAGCAGCCGCGGUAAUACGUAGGCAGCAAGCGUUGUUCGGAAUUACUGGGCGUAAAGCGAGUGUAGGUGGUGCUAUAAGUUUGGUGUGAAAUCUCCCGGCUUAACUGGGA